rnacentral:rRNA from 1 species
CGGACGGGUGAGUAACGCGUGAGGAACCUGCCUCAGAGAGGGGGAUAACACACCGAAAGGUGUGCUAAUACCGCAUAACAUAUAAGAGGGGCAUCCCUUUUAUAUCAAAGAUUUAUUGCUCUGAGAUGGCCUCGCGUCCAAUUAGCUAGUUGGUGAGGUAACGGCCCACCAAGGCGACGAUUGGUAGCCGGACUGAGAGGUUGAACGGCCACAUUGGGACUGAGACACGGCCCAGACUCCUACGGAAGGCAGCAG